rnacentral:rRNA from 1 species
UGGGGAAUAUUGCACAAUGGGCGCAAGCCUGAUGCAGCCAUGCCGCGUGUGUGAAGAAGGCCUUCGGGUUGUAAAGCACUUUCAGCGGGGAGGAAGGCGAUAAGGUUAAUAACCUCAUCGAUUGACGUUACCCGCAGAAGAAGCACCGGCUAACUCCGUGCCAGCAGCCGCGGUAAUACGGAGGGUGCAAGCGUUAAUCGGAAUUACUGGGCGUAAAGCGCACGCAGGCGGUCUGUCAAGUCGGAGGUGAAAUCCCCGGGCUCAACCUGGGAACUGCAUUCGAAACUGGCAGGCUAGAGUCUUGUAGAGGGGGGUAGAAUUCCAGGUGUAGCGGUGAAAUGCGUAGAGAUCUGGAGGAAUACCGGUGGCGAAGGCGGCCCCCUGGACAAAGACUGACGCUCAGGUGCGAAAGCGUGGGGAGCAAACAGG